rnacentral:rRNA from 1 species
UACGUAGGUGGCAAGCGUUGUCCGGAUUUACUGGGCGUAAAGGGCGUGCAGGCGGUCUGUUAAGUGCAGGGUGAAAGCUCCCGGCUCAACUGGGAGAGGUCCUUGCAUACUGGCGGACUUGAGGGGGGUAGAGGAAAGUGGAAUUCCCGGUGUAGUGGUGAUAUGCGCAGAUAUCAGGAGGAACACCGGUGGCGAAGGCGGGUCUCUGGGCAGUAACUGACGCUGAGGAGCGAAAGCGUGGGGAGCGAACAGG